GAUUUUUAGGGUGAGAAAGGGGGUGGGGGUAAUCAAAUGCUGACGUAAAUUUUUAGGAGGUCUGAAGAAGUUUGGCAAGCUAACAGAGGAGAAGAGGAGGUGAAAACUACCAAAAAAUUGUUGGCGUAAUUAAUAGACUGCCUUUAAGUCAGCUUCUCUGAUCUCUGAUUAUACGGCAUACGGACAAACUCUUAUUUCUGUUGUGAUACUUGUUAGAUAUUUAGCAUGUCUCCUUUAUCAACUGUAUCUCGUUUAUCAAUCAAGAACAUCGCUAAUAUUUUCAAUUUUGAGGCACACCAAUCUAACGAAUAUCUCUGUCUGUAAGGUGUGUAUAACAAUUGUGUAAUGUCUGGAAGAAAGUAUGAGAUUGGGACUGUAAAACGAAAAAAAUCCCUGGAUAAAGAUGCCAGAGAAAUAAUGAGGCGCAUGGACUAACAAAACGUCUUGAUAAUUAGACUGUCUUAGAGGACGCGAUUCUGCAAAGAUUCAGUAAAACAAGUCUAGGUUUGCAAGGUGCCACUGAAGAUUUGAAUAAAGCUGCUGAUUUGUUGCAUUUAUUGCCUGAGUUUUUUCAAUCGUUGAGAUGUUUGACAGAAUUCGGAUAAAUUUGAGAAAUAUGGAAAAGAGUUGUCCAAAUGUGAAGUACAUGAAAAAGAAGUCAAAAGAGUGAGAAAAAGUAAGCAAGAGUUUGAUGAACGUACUUAUGAAGAAGUCCUCCUAUUUUCAAAAGAUAAAAUUUAAGUUAA